CCUACGGGAGGCUGCAGUGGGGAAUAUUGCACAAUGGGGGCAACCCUGACGCAGCAACGCCGCGUGAGUGAAGAAGGCUUUCGGUUUGUAAAGUUCUUUUAGCAGGGAAGAAAAUAGACGGUACCCGAAUAAGAAGCCCCGGCUAACUACGUGCCAGCAGCCGCGGUAAUACGUAGGGGGCAAGCGUUAUCCGGAUUUACUGGGUGUAAAGGGGGCGUAGACGGGCAGGCAAGUCAGAAGUGAAAGCCCGUGGCUUAACCACCGAACUGCUUUUGAAACUGUUUGGCUAGAGUGCUGGAGAGGCAGGUGGAAUUCCUAGUGUAGCGGUGAAAUGCGUAGAUAUUAGGAGGAACACCAGUGGCGAAGGCGGCCUGCUGGACAAUAACUGACGUUGAGGCGCGAAAGCGUGGGGAGCAAACAGGAUUAGAUACCCCUGUAGUC
rnacentral:rRNA from 1 species